AGGUACUGACUACAUUACAGGGUAGUGAUCAAUAGACGGGGAAAGGUAAGGUACUGACUACAUUACAGGGUAGUGAUCAAUAGAGGGGGAAAGGUACUGACUACAUUACAGGGUAGUGAUCAAUAGAGGGGGAAAGGUAAGGUACUGACUACAUUACAGGGUAGUGAUCAAUAGAUGGGGAAAGGUAAGGUACUGACUACAUUACAGGGUAGUGAUCAAUAGAUGGGGAAAGGUAAGGUACUGACUACAUUACAGGGUAGUGAUCAAUAGAUGGGGAAAGGUAAGGUACUGACUACAUUACAGGGUAGUGAUCAAUAGAGGGGGAAAGGUAAGGUACUGACUACAUUACAGGGUAGUGAUCAAUAGAGGGGGAAAGGUAUUGACUACAUUACAGGGUAGUGAUCAAUAGACGGGGAAAGGUACUGACUACAUUACAGGGUAGUGAUCAAUAGACGGG
rnacentral:lncRNA from 1 species